UGGGGAAUAUUGCACAAUGGGCGCAAGCCUGAUGCAGCCAUGCCGCGUGUGUGAAGAAGGCCUUCGGGUUGUAAAGCACUUUCAGCGGGGAGGAAGGCGUUAAGGUUAAUAACCUUGGCGAUUGACGUUACCCGCAGAAGAAGCACCGGCUAACUCCGUGCCAGCAGCCGCGGUAAUACGGAGGGUGCAAGCGUUAAUCGGAAUUACUGGGCGUAAAGCGCACGCAGGCGGUCUGUCAAGUCGGAUGUGAAAUCCCCGGGCUCAACCUGGGAAUUGCAUUCGAAAAUGGCAGGCUAGAGUCUUGUAGAAGGGGGUAGAAUUCCAGGUGUAGCAGUGGAAUGCGUAGAGAUGUGGAGGAAUACCGGUGGCGAAGGCGGCCCCCUGGACAAAGAAUGACGAUGAGGUGGGAAAGAGGGGGGAGCAAACAGG
rnacentral:rRNA from 1 species